rnacentral:rRNA from 1 species
GUAGUCUCGCACAGAUGCAUAUCAAUAAGCGGAGGAAAAGAAACUAACAAGGAUUCCCCUAGUAACGGCGAGUGAAGCGGGAAGAGCUCAAAUUUGAAAUCUUAAAGGGUUUCCCUUUACGAAUUGUAGUUUAAAGAAGUGUUUUCUGUUGAGGUUUUGGUAAAAGUUCUUUGGAAUAGGACAUCAUAGAGGGUGAGAAUCCCGUAUUGACCUUUACUUUCAACUUUGUGAUACACUUUCAAAGAGUCGGAUUGUUUGGGAAUGCAGUCCAAAAUGGGUGGUAAAUUUCAUCUAAAGCUAAAUAUUGGCGAGAGACCGAUAGCGAACAAGUACCGUGAGGGAAAGAUGAAAAGAACUUUGAAAAGAGAGUUAAACAGUACGUGAAAUUGUCAAAAGGGAAGCGUUUGACACCAGUGUUGUUUUUCUGAAAAUCAAUUAAAGAACUGUUUAUGCUAAGUUGUUUAGACUUUAUCAGCUAACUGUUUAGUUUUGAGCUUUUCUUUAAUGCACUUUUCAGUUAACAAGUCAACAUCAAUUUCUUUUGCUGUAAAAAAGCUUGAGGAAGGUGGCUUGAGAUUCGUCUUAAGUGUUUAUAGCCUCUUGCCUAUGCAGUCGGAGAGAUUGAGGUCUGCAGCGUAGAUCCUUCGGGGCUAAAUGCAUUUGUGCUAAGUUAUAGCAUUUUAUAGACAACUUGUUGACUAUGAUUUGUCUUGUAGCUUACUCGCUUAUGUUAUUUUACCUACGCUUAGGAUGUUGAUCUGUAGUGCGUGCGC